UACGAAGGGGGCUAGCGUUGCUCGGAAUCACUGGGCGUAAAGCGCACGUAGGCGGAUCUUUAAGUCAGGGGUGAAAUCCUGGAGCUCAACUCCAGAACUGCCUUUGAUACUGAGGAUCUCGAGUCCGGGAGAGGUGAGUGGAACUGCGAGUGUAGAGGUGAAAUUCGUAGAUAUUCGCAAGAACACCGGUGGCGAAGGCGGUCACCUGGACGGAUACUGACGCUGAGACGCGAAAGCGUGGGGAGCAAACAGG
rnacentral:rRNA from 1 species